CCUGCCAGUAGUCAUAUGCUUGUCUUAAAGAUUAAGCCAUGCAUGUCUAAGUUUAAGUGUUCUUACAACGAAACCGCGAAUGGCUCAUUAAAUCAGUUAUAGUUUACUUGGUCGAUGCUUACUACUUGGAUAACUGUAGUAAUUCUAGAGCUAAUACAUGCAAAAGACCCCAACUCUUCGGGGAAGGGGUGGCAUUAUCCACUUCAACGCUACUCGGGGUUCACGCCCUGUAUUACUUGAAUGGAGAUAAUUGUCCGAAUCGCGAGAACCGUAAGGCGGCGAUAGACCAACCAAGUUUCUGCCCUAUCAACUUGAUGGUAGUGUAUUGGACUACCAUGGUUAUAACGGGUAACGGGGAAUUAGGGUUCGAUUCCGGAGAGGGAGCCUGAGAGAUGGCUACCACUUCCAAGGAAGGCAGCAGGCGCGCAAAUUACCCAAUCUCAGUACGAGGAGGUAGUGACGAUAAAUAACGAUAUGGAUCCUUCGGGGUCCAUAAUCGGAAUGAGCACAGUGUAAAUAUCUUAACGAGGAACAAUUGGAGGACAAGUCUGGUGCCAGCACCCGCGGUAAUUCCAGCUCCAAGAGCGUAUAUUAAAGUUGUUGCAGUUAAAAAGCUCGUAGUCUGAAUUUGAGGAUUCUGGUAGUUUAGGGGCAGGCUGGGUCUUUUACCUUGAAGAAAUUGGAGUGUUCAAAGCAGAUAUUCUUUCGUCUUGCACAUAUUAGCAUGGGACAAUGAAAGAAGACCGCGUCAGAGUCUGGUAGUAACUCGGGCGCGGUAAUGAUCGAUAGGGGCGAUGGGGGCGGUUGGUAUUCAGCGGCUAGAGGUGAAAUUCUUAGAUUCGCUGCAGACUCCCGGAAGCAAAAGCGUUCCGCUACUGUACCCCCGUUGAUCAAGAACGAAAGUUAGGGGAUCGAAGACGAUCAGAUACCGUCGUAGUCUUAACUAUAAACGAUGCGGACCAGAGGUUAAGCCUCAUCCUUUGUACGAUAUUCCUAGCAUCUUUGCGAGAAAUCUUUGAGUUUUUGCGUUCUGGGGGGAGUAUGGUCGCAAGGCUGAAACUUAAAGGAAUUGACGGAAGAUCACCACCAGGAGUGGAAUCUGCGGC
rnacentral:rRNA from 1 species